CAUCCUCAGAUACAUAGCUAUAAAGGAGCUGGGAGAAGGGAGGGAAAAAAAGAAGAGGAAAAAGAAGGAAAGAGUAAAAUUCGCUCUAGUUUCCCAAACUACAGUACUAGUGGGCCGUGGCCGUUAGGAGGUGGAGCGCCUGUCUAAAGAGCCGGAAGUAAGUAAGGGCCAUUUGGAAAUGCCAAGGAAGAGGAAUCAAUAGAGAACAAGACAAAACACACUCGCGCACUCACACACACACACACACACACACACACACACACACACACACACACACACACACACGUUCAUGGGGAGCACGGCUGCCGGCGGGGACAGGUUCCAAGCCGGUGAGCGCCUGGGAGGUUCCUAUGGAGGCAGAGCCUGAAGGACAGAACCUCGAUGGGGCGAGGCUUGUAGGGGCGGAGCCAGGGGCUUGGGCUGGGCUCCAGCCAGGUGAGGGAAGGGGAGGCUGGGCCUAGCUGGGGUGUGGACAUUUCGCUUCUCAGCGGCUGAUCCUCUAGGUUGAGUCCGGUCGGAUCCCCAGAGUCCUGUCCAGCUCCUGGGACAGGCUGGUUACACAGUAGGUCUUAAAUCAUCAAGAUCAGCUCAGUGUCAAAAGUGAAACCCCAGAUCCCAACUCCACCUGGAUCUCUGGGAUGUCUGCUGGAGACUGCAUUCCUGAAUCUUUGUGCAGCUGUACACCGACACAUUAGACCCACAGACCUCCUUCAAGUUUGCCUAUCCCCUUCCCUGAAUCCUAACCCCUCCCCUCCCCUGCCCAAAUAAAUUAUCCCCCAAAAGCCCUA